GAUGAACGCUGGCGGCGUGCUUAACACAUGCAAGUCGAACGGUGAAGGCGGAGCUUGCUCUGCUGGAUCAGUGGCGAACGGGUGAGUAACACGUGAGCAAUCUGCCCCUGACUCUGGGAUAAGCGCUGGAAACGGCGUCUAAUACUGGAUACGAGCUGCGAAGGCAUCUUCAGCAGCUGGAAAGAACUUCGGUCAGGGAUGAGCUCGCGGCCUAUCAGCUUGUUGGUGAGGUAACGGCUCACCAAGGCGUCGACGGGUAGCCGGCCUGAGAGGGUGACCGGCCACACUGGGACUGAGACACGGCCCAGACUCCUACGGGAGGCAGCAGUGGGGAAUAUUGCACAAUGGGCGAAAGCCUGAUGCAGCAACGCCGCGUGAGGGAAGACGGCCUUCGGGUUGUAAACCUCUUUUAGCAGGGAAGAAGCGAAAGUGACGGUACCUGCAGAAAAAGCGCCGGCGAACUACGU
rnacentral:rRNA from 1 species